UGCGUAGGCGGAACUGCAAGUGUCUUGUGAAAUCCCUCGGCUUAACCGAGGAAUUGCUUGGCAAACUGCAGUUCUUGAGGCAAGUAGGGGUGUGUGGAACUCUUGGUGGAGCGGUGGAAUGCGUAGAUAUCAAGAGGAACGCCGAAGGUGAAGACAGCACACUGGACUUGUUCUGACGCUGAGGCAACGAAAGCGUGGGGAGCAAACA
rnacentral:rRNA from 1 species